rnacentral:rRNA from 1 species
GAUGAGCGCUAGCGGCAGGCCUAAUACAUGCAAGUCGGACGGGAUUCAGGAGCUUGCUUCUGAUGAGAGUGGCGCACGGGUGCGUAACACGUAUGUAACCUACCUUUAUCAGGGGGAUAGCCUCUCGAAAGAGAGAUUAAGCCCGCAUAAAAUCACAGCACAGCAUUGUGUAAUGAUCAAAUAUUUAUAGGAUAAAGAUGGGCAUGCGGAACAUUAGCUAGAUGGCGGGGUAACGGCCCACCAUGGCGACGAUGUUUAGGGGAUCUGAGAGGAUGGCCCCCCACACUGGUACUGAGACACGGACCAGACUCGUACGGGAGGCAGCAGUAAGGAAUAUUGGGCAAUGGGCGGAAGCCUGAACCAGCCAUGCCGCGUGCAGGAAGACGGCCCUACGGGUUGUAAACUGCUUUUAUACGGGAAUAAACCCAGAUACGUGUAUCUGGCUGAAUGUACUGUAAGAAUAAGAAUCGGCUAACUCCGUG